UUUACAUUUGAGUGAGUGGCGAACUGGUGAGUAACACGUGGGAAACCUGCCCAGAAGCGGGGGAUAACACCUGGAAACAGAUGCUAAUACCGCAUAACAACUUGGACCGCAUGGUCCGAGUUUGAAAGAUGGCUUCGGCUAUCACUUUUGGAUGGUCCCGCGGCGUAUUAGCUAGAUGGUGAGGUAACGGCUCACCAUGGCAAUGAUACGUAGCCGACCUGAGAGGGUAAUCGGCCACAUUGGGACUGAGACACGGCCCAAACUCCUACGGGAGGCAGCAGUAGGGAAUCUUCCACAAUGGACGAAAGUCUGAUGGAGCAACGCCGCGUGAGUGAAGAAGGGUUUCGGCUCGUAAAACUCUGUUGUUAAAGAAGAACAUAUCUGAGAGUAACUGUUCAGGUAUUGACGGUAUUUAACCA
rnacentral:rRNA from 1 species